rnacentral:rRNA from 1 species
GACGAACGCUGGCGGCGUGCUUAACACAUGCAAGUCGAACGGAAAGUCCCUGCUUUUGUGGGGUGCUCGGGUGGCGAACGGGUGAGUCACACGUGAGUAACCUGCCCUUGACUUUGGGAUAACUUCAGGAAACUGGGGCUAAUACCGGAUAGGAGCUCCUGCUGCAUGGUGGGGGUUGGAAAGUUUCGGCGGUUGGGGAUGGACUCGCGGCUUAUCAGCUUGUUGGUGGGGUAGUGGCUUACCAAGGCUUUGACGGGUAGCCGGCCUGAGAGGGUGACCGGCCACAUUGGGACUGAGAUACGGCCCAGACUCCUACGGGAGGCAGCAGUGGGGAAUAUUGCACAAUGGGCGGAAGCCUGAUGCAGCAACGCCGCGUGCGGGAUGACGGCCUUCGGGUUGUAAACCGCUUUCGCCUGUGACGAAGCGUGAGUGACGGUAAUGGGUAAAGAAGCACCGGCUAACUACGUG